UACGGAGGGGGCUAGCGUUGUUCGGAAUUACUGGGCGUAAAGCGCGCGUAGGCGGCUUUGUAAGUUAGAGGUGAAAGCCCGGGGCUCAACCCCGGGUCGGCCAUGCGAACUGGGGAACUGGAGCCUGUCAGAGGCAAGCGGAAUUCCGGGUGUAGCGGUGGAAUGCGUAGAGAUCCGGAAGAACACCGGUGGCGAAGGCGGCUUGCUGGGACAGUGCUGACGCUGAAGCGCGACAGCGUGGGGAGCAAACAGG
rnacentral:rRNA from 1 species